AUUGAACGCUGGCGGCAGGCCUAACACAUGCAAGUCGAACGAGUGGCGGACGGGUGAGUAAUGUCUGGGAAACUGCCUGAUGGAGGGGGAUAACUACUGGAAACGGUAGCUAAUACCGCAUACCAUCGGAUGUGCCCAGAUGGGAUUAGCUAGUAGGUGGGGUAACGGCUCACCUAGGCGACGAUCCCUAGCUGGUCUGAGAGUAUGACCACCCACACUGGAACGGAGACAUGGUCCAGACUCAUACGGGGGGCAGCAGUGGGGAAUAUUGCACAAUGGGCGCAAGCCUGAUGCAGCCAUGCCGCGUGUAUGAAGAAGGGCUUCGGGUUGUAAAGUACUUUCAGCGGGGAGGCGUUAACGGCAGAAGAAGCACCGGCUAACUCCGUGCCAGCAGCCGCGGUAAUAC
rnacentral:rRNA from 1 species